rnacentral:lncRNA from 1 species
CGAGCAUCUUCCUUUGUUGUCUCAGCAUCUCUUUUUGAACCCAGGCAUAAGAGAAGGCCCCUGUGUCAUUGAUAGGUUCAUGGCACAUCAACGAGUGUGACUGGGGAGUGCUGGCAAAUCUACAGUUGAACUGCCUAAUAAUUUGUGGCAUCAGAACCAUGCAGGAGACAAACAAAAUGACUUAGACCUUCUGUGUGAUCUCACGAGGGUUGUGUUGUAGGGCUCCUGUAAUAAGAAAUGGAGGUCUCAUCAUGUUUCCCCGGCUGGUCUUAAAC